UACGGCGAGUGAGCGGCAAAAGCUCAAAUUUGAAAUCUGGUACCUUCGGUGCCCGAGUUGUAAUUUGGAGAGGGCAACUUUGGGGCCGUUCCUUGUCUAUGUUCCUUGGAACAGGACGUCAUAGAGGGUGAGAAUCCCGUGUGGCGAGGAGUGCGGUUCUUUGUAAAGUGCCUUCGAAGAGUCGAGUUGUUUGGGAAUGCAGCUCUAAGUGGGUGGUAAAUUCCAUCUAAAGCUAAAUAUUGGCGAGAGACCGAUAGCGAACAAGUACAGUGAUGGAAAGAUGAAAAGAACUUUGAAAAGAGAGUGAAAAAGUACGUGAAAUUGUUGAAAGGGAAGGGCAUUUGAUCAGACAUGGUGUUUUGUGCCCUCUGCUCCUUGUGGGUAGGGGAAUCUCGCAUUUCACUGGGCCAGCAUCAGUUUUGGUGGCAGGAUAAAUCCAUAGGAAUGUAGCUUGCCUCGGUAAGUAUUAUAGCCUGUGGGAAUACUGCCAGCUGGGACUGAGGACUGCGACGUAAGUCAAGGAUGCUGGCAUAAUGGUUAUAUGCCGCCCGUCUU
rnacentral:rRNA from 1 species